GAGCAGGGACGGCCGUCUCCUGUCCUGCAACAUUGGUGUUCCAGUGCUCAAGCCUGGGGAUUCAUGUGGGACUUGGACUGUCACCCACCCACUCUCCACCUGACUUCCAUUCUGGACUUAGAAUAAAGCUGACACCACCAGCCCCUCCGGUUUACAGGAUUUUGAACUUUACUGGGUAUUUAGCUUGCAGAUGGCAGAUCCUGUGGCUUCUUGGCCUCCAUAAUUGGGAAUUGGCACUCCUUGAACAGUCUGCCUCCUGUUCCAGUGUUAUUGGGUAAACUUUAAACAGUCCUAGAAGAGAUUCUUCCAGCAAGAGAUCAUCUCUGUAAAUCACCUGGGAGGUGGAAAUAAGGAGACCACAAAAGACAGAUGUGAUCUGAUGGUGGCCAGAGACACCACCAGUAAACGGACUCACGUGGUAGAGAGAAGACUUGGGUGCUGAGAGCUAUGGCACACAGGAUCACAGCGAGGGCGGCC